AGCGAACGCUGGCGGCAGGCCUAACACAUGCGAGUCGAACGAACUCUUCGGAGUUAGUGGCGGACGGGUGAGUAACACGUGGGAACGUGCCUUUAGGUUCGGAAUAACUCAGGGAAACUUGUGCUAAUACCGAAUGUGCCCUUCGGGGGAAAGAUUUAUCGCCUUUAGAGCGGCCCGCGUCUGAUUAGCUAGUUGGUGAGGUAAAGGCUCACCAAGGCGACGAUCAGUAGCUGGUCUGAGAGGAUGAUCAGCCACAUUGGGACUGAGACACGGCCCAAACUCCUACGGGAGGCAGCAGUGGGGAAUCUUGCGCAAUGGGCGAAAGCCUGACGCAGCCAUGCCGCGUGAAUGAUGAAGGUCUUAGGAUUGUAAAAUUCUUUCACCGGGGACGAUAAUGACGGUACCCGGAGAAGAAGCCCCGGCUAACUUCGU
rnacentral:rRNA from 1 species